GAUGAACGCUGACAGAAUGCUUAACACAUGCAAGUCAACUUGAACUUCGGUUUGGGUGGCGGACGGGUGAGUAACGCGUAAAGAACUUGCCUCACAGAUAGGGACAACAUUUGGAAACGAAUGCUAAUACCUGAUAUUAUGAUUAUAUGGCAUCGUAUAAUUAUGAAAGCUAUAUGCGCUGUGAGAGAGCUUUGCGUCCCAUUAGCUAGUUGGAGAGGUAACGGCUCACCAAGGCGAUGAUGGGUAGCCGGCCUGAGAGGGUGAUCGGCCACAAGGGGACUGAGACACGGCCCUUACUCCUACGGGGGGCAGCAGUGGGGAAUAUUGGACAAUGGACCAAGAGUCUGAUCCAGCAAUUCUGUGUGCACGAUGAAGUUUUUCGGAAUGUAAAGUGCUUUCAGUUGGGAAGAAAAAAAUGACGGUACCAACAGAAGAAGUGACGGCUAAAUACGUG
rnacentral:rRNA from 1 species